GAUGAACGCUGGCGGCGUGCUUAACACAUGCAAGUCGAACGAUGAAGCCCAGCCUGCUGGGCGGAUUAGUGGCGAACGGGUGAGUAACACGUGAGUAACCUGCCCUUGACUCUGGGAUAAGCCCGGGAAACUGGGUCUAAUACCGGAUAGGAGCGCCUGUCGCAUGACGGGUGCUGGAAAGAUUUUUCGGUCAUGGAUGGACUCGCGGCCUAUCAGCUUGUUGGUGAGGUAACGGCUCACCAAGGCGACGACGGGUAGCCGGCCUGAGAGGGUGACCGGCCACACUGGGACUGAGACACGGCCCAGACUCCUACGGGAGGCAGCAGUGGGGAAUAUUGCACAAUGGGCGGAAGCCUGAUGCAGCGACGCCGCGUGAGGGAUGACGGCCUUCGGGUUGUAAACCUCUUUCAGUAGGGAAGAAGCGAAAGUGACGUACCUGCA
rnacentral:rRNA from 1 species